CCUACGGGAUGCAGCAGUGAGGAAUAUUGGUCAAUGGGCGUAAGCCUGAACCAGCCAAGUCGCGUGAGGGAUGAAGGUUCUAUGGAUCGUAAACCUCUUUUAUAAGGGAAUAAAGUGUGGGACGUGUCCUGUUUUGUAUGUACCUUCUGCAUAAGGAUCGGCUAACUCCGUGCCAGCAGCCGCGGUAAUACGGAGGAUCCGAGCGUUAUCCGGAUUUAUUGGGUUUAAAGGGUGCGUAGGCGGCCUUUUAAGUCAGCGGUGAAAGUCUGUGGCUCAACCAUAGAAUUGCCGUUGAAACUGGGAGGCUUGAGUAUGUUUGAGGCAGGCGGAAUGCGUGGUGUAGCGGUGAAAUGCUUAGAUAUCACGCAGAACCCCGAUUGCGAAGGCAGCCUGCCAAGCCAUGACUGACGCUGAUGCACGAAAGCGUGGGGAUCAAACAGGAUUAGAUACCCGAGUAGUC
rnacentral:rRNA from 1 species